rnacentral:tRNA from 1 species
CGGGGUAUAGCGCAGCCUGGUAGCGCACCUGCUUUGGGAGCAGGGGGUCGUGGGUUCGAAUCCCCCUACCCCGACCA